rnacentral:rRNA from 1 species
UGAGGAACAUGUCCUUCGGCGGGGAAUAGCCGGCCUAACGGCCGGGUAAUUCCGCGUACGAUGGUUGGGGCGCAUGCCUCGGCCGUGAAAGCAGCAAUGCGCCGAUGGAGUGCCUCGCGGCCUAUCAGCUAGUUGGUGAGGUAAUGGCUCACCAAGGCAACGACGGGUAGCUGGUCUGAGAGGAUGGCCAGCCACAUUGGGACUGAGACACGGCCCAGAUCCCG